GGGAAAGGUGGCAACUGGUAGGCGGGAUGUGGCCAUUACCUCCAGCAGAGCUCGUCAGGGUGCGCCCUCCUGCUUGGCCCAGCCGUGGGCAUGGAGCCUUUAAAAUGAAAGAGCUCUUGACUAGGAAGAUGCCUCAGAACUGCCAGGCUCCUAGAGGAUUCUGAAGCACUAAACUUUGAGUGAGGCCUGGCUUGGGCACUUCCAAGCAUUACAGUGAGUCUGCAUAUUUGAUACAUGUGGAACAACUCAACACAGAAAACCUUCAAAUUCUGCCCUCAAGUAUUCCAUAUAAUUUACCACCUUGGUGUAUCUUAAGGAAACAGUGAAAGAUAUUCUACCAGGUCCAUUGAA